UUAUUGUAAGAAAGUGGGUGAUGUUUGACAUGCUUUUUACAUAUUGAAGCAGAAACCAGAAGCAGCUUCAGAGAUCACCAGUGACCUGACACAAGCAGCAGGAAUCUCAUCUCAUUAAGUGUAAGUGGCACCACACAGAUAUAGCUGAACAUGCAGGGACACAGAAGACCCAUUCCACAGGACACCCCCCAAAAUUACAGUGAAUCUAAUGGAAUUAUAGAAAAACAUACAUGAUGUGCAUCAUGACCAAGGUCUCCACUUCUCAUCAAAGGACAUUCCUUAUGGGAUUCACCAGAACUUGCUUUCUUUCCAUAGACAUGGAUAUACUGCUAAACACUUAGGGACCUUACCCUCUGGGAAGGGACAUAGUAAAUCAGGAGUCACAGAAUGUAUAGGAAAAUAUCCGUUUUAUGAAUCCUCUAAAAAACAGCCCAAAUAUGAAUAGCCCCACCCACUUUUCCUCUGAACUGGCAUCAUUCCCAGGAACCCACUUGUAGUGUUAUACCCAAACGAGUUAGAGAAAAUGCAACACUUUGAGACGAAUUAAGAGUCCUUUAUUUAAGCUGGCGGCCAAAGAGACAGCUAACGCUCAGAAUUCUCUCGGCCCUGAGGAAGGGGCUUGAUUAACUUUUAUAUCUUGGUUUAGGAAGGGGAGGGGAACUCAAAUACAAUAAUUCUAUAGAAGUAAAAACAUGCAAGAAUCAAAAGAAGCAAAUGGUUACAGAGUGAUAAACAAUUUAAAAGACAAAUGGUUACAAAAAGCAACAGUACCAGGUGCAGGGCUCUAAAUCCUUGAUUUGAGUUAUAUAUAGAUGCUAUGCUGGGCACGAACUCAAGGCUUUAUGUUGUUAUCUCUUUGAGAAAAAUCCUGGUAACUUCAUACAUUGUUUGUUCCAGUACCUUAUCAGUUAAUUGGGCUCCUUUGAAAUGCUGAGGAUCUGUUUACAUAGGUUAACUCCUUGAAGAAGGGGGUUGGAUAAGGAGCCUUAAUGUCUUGUAAAUCAAAAGAUCAAAUGGAGUUUGUCCGGCUUUCCCAGCCAGGGAGAGUCUAUUCAUAUGGGAAACGUGGCUGGCAAUUAAGGAGACAAAAGAAGGGAAAACUUAAAGUAGCAAGCUAGAGUAAAAAACAAGGUUAGGCAUUACAGCAGAACCUAUGGUGCUUCAAGAUAAUUUGGGCUUGGUAUGCCAAGAGACCACCAGAAGAGGAAAGAACAAAUCUGCCCAUCAUGUUGAGAAAACUGAAGAGACCUGUAAUCCUGAGGAGGAGGCCUAAUCCAAGGAGAGAGAUGCUCCUGGACCUGUGGACACACAUGGUUUGCCUGAUUCUACCCAUCUAAGAGCUACUGAAGCCUUCGGGAGACAUGAGAAUGGAUGAGUUCCUCAGGACGAUUCAAUCAGAUCUGGACAGGGGGGAAAAAUUCAUGACCUAGGGUAGAUUAACAAAUAUAAUUAAAUUUUCAUUGAAAAUUGAGAAAUUUUUGUUGUAUAUAUUUAUGGCCUGCAAAGCUAUGUUAUGAUUUGUGAAUACAAUAUGGAAUAAUUGAAUCAAGCUAAUCGACAUAUAUAUUACCUCAAAUCCACAAAUCCCUAUCACUUUUUGUGACAAGAAUAUUUGAAAUUAUUUCUUGGCUAUUUUAAAAUGACCAAUACACUAUGUUUAAGCUUACAAAUAGACAUCGAUUUAUGUGAAUCAUAGAGAAUCAUUGAAAUCAAUUAUAGAUUACUUUAAUAAUUUAUAUUUGUUUUUCAUUAAGUUUGAUUCUUUAGGACAUAUUUUAGAAUUGUUCUGUUAUAAUGUUAAAUAUAAAAGACUAUACAUGUAUGCAUAGGUUUGUGUAUUUAAUCGUAUGUCUAGGAUGUAAAUUAAUGUCUCUAUAGCUGUGGAGUAGCUGAUAUCAACAGACGUUAAUAAAACUCUAGAAGAAUAAGAGUAAAUAAUUAGGAAGAAUUAUUUCUUGAAGUUAUGUAUCUUUAAAAAAUAUCCCUACAUAUAAAUUUUAAAAUUACAAUAACACAAAUAUCAAUAAAAAUACAUCAUAAAUAAAAAUAAUAACAUAUCGCUAACUCAUAAAACUCCAGAGUCCUGCAAAAACAAACCUGCCUCCUGCAUCUGAGAAAGGAAACCGCCCCCUGCCCCUGCUCCUGGGACCUGUCCCUAUCUCAGUGGUCCCGAGCGCUCCCUGGUGGCCCCGCACGCCCCUGCAGGGAGGUUUGUGUCUGGGCUCACGCUGACCUCCCCUCACUGUGUCUCUAGCACAGUAAUACACGGCCAAGUCCUCGGUUUUCAGGUUGCUCAUUUGCAGAUACAGCGUGUUCUUUGAAU
rnacentral:lncRNA from 10 species